rnacentral:lncRNA from 13 species
GAUCUGCUCAUGGAGUAUCUGACUGGGGUUCUCUGCAUUUCUGGAAUUUGAAGUUGAACUGUCUUGUUAUGUUGGGGAAGUUCUCAUGGAUGAUAUCCUGACAUAUAUUUUUCAAAUUGGUUCCAUUCUCUCCAUCUCUUACAGGGACAACAAUCAGUCAUAGAUUUGGUCUGUUUACAUAAACCCAUAUUUUUUAUUAUUUUCAUUUGUAUUCAAUUUUCCUCUAUUCUUGUUUGCCUGGCUUAUUUCAGAAAGACAGUCUUUGUGUUCUGAGAUUCUUUCUUUCUCUUGGUCUAUUUUGCUAUUAAUACCUUGUGAUUGCAUUAUGACAUUCUUGUAGUAUGUUUUUCAGCUCUAUCAGGUUGGUUACAUUCUUCUCUAUACUGGCUAUUUUGUUUCUGAGCUCUUUUGAUGUUUUAUUCUAAUUUUUAGCUUCUUUGCAUUUUAUAUAGUGUUCAAAUCCAGCAGCAAACAAUGGCAUCCUACCUGAAUUCUAAAAACUGUUUACCUUACUAAACGAGCUUCAUUUAUUUACGUGAGCAGCCAACUUCUUACUCCAGCAGCGGUUAGUGAGCAAACCGACCAUUCUCAUUUCUAGCCAUUCUUAGCCUCAGCCCAGUCCUAAACCCUUGAUGGAGAGAUGAUGUGGUCGUUUGGAGGAAGGAGGGCACCCUGGCUUUUUGAGUCUGGCCACUCUUCAGUAGAGCUGCUGCAGUUUGUUGGGGGUCCACUCCAGUUCCUAGUUACCCUCGAUUUUCCAGUACCUGGAAGUAUCGCCAGUGAAGGCUUUGAAAUAGCAAAGAUGGUAGCCUGUCUCUUCUACUGGGAUCACCAUCCCAGGGAGAUACAGAUUGUUGCUGGUCCCAAUGCACCUGCAGGAAGUGAUUGAAGACCCUGGUUCAGAGUUCUCACCCAGUCAGAAGAAAUGGAAUUGGGAACCCUCUCAAAGAAGCUCACUGGAUAUGCUUUUGUCAAACAGAUGUGUUGCACUGGAGUACCGCUUCUGUCCCCGGUUGUCUUGGGCUCUCCAAAGCCUGGGGGCUGGAAUACCUACAUUUUCCAAACAGCGAAGAUGGCAGCCUCCCCAUCUCUUUGGAAUCUCCAUCCCAGGAAAUUUGCAAAUCUCUGUAGGCAAGAGAACAGUGGUGGGGAUGGCUGGAGGCCCUGGUUGGAAGGUCCCACUCAGUGAGGAGGAAUGGAUCAGGGACCUGCUUAAAGAAGCAGUCUGGCCACGUUUUAGGAGAGCAACUCUUCUGUGCUGGGGGAUCCUUUCAGCCCUCGGUCAGUUUGGACGCUUCAAAGCCCACAGGCUGGAAGAGCUGAGUCAUCUAAACAGUAAAGCUGGCAGUCUACCCUUUCUCCCAGGAACUUUGUCACAGAACCAUAUACACGUCAUGUGGUAUUCUCAUGAAGGCAAAGUAUGAUCAUUGGAGACUUACUCACCACUAAAUGUGUUGUGUCCCAGAGGAAAAUAAAGAGGGAAGCUGUUGCA